rnacentral:rRNA from 1 species
GACGUAGGGCGCAAGCGUUGUCCGGAUUUAUUGGGCGUAAAGAGCUCGUAGGCGGCUUGUCGCGUCGACUGUGAAAACCCGUGGCUCAACCAUGUGGUCUGCAGUCGAUACGGGCAGGCUAGAAUUCGGUAGGGGAGACUGGAAUUCCUGGUGUAGCGGUGAAAUGCGCAGAUAUCAGGAGGAACACCGGUGGCGAAGGCGGGUCUCUGGGCCGAUAUUGACGCUGAGGAGCGAAAGCGUGGGGAGCGAACAGG